CAUGCAAGUCGAACGGUAGCACAGAGAGCUUGCUCUCGGGUGACGAGUGGCGGACGGGUGAGUAAUGUCUGGGAAACUGCCUGAUGGAGGGGGAUAACUACUGGAAACGGUAGCUAAUACCGCAUAACGUCGCAAGACCAAAGAGGGGGACCUUCGGGCCUCUUGCCAUCAGAUGUGCCCAGAUGGGAUUAGCUAGUAGGUGGGGUAACGGCUCACCUAGGCGACGAUCCCUAGCUGGUCUGAGAGGAUGACCAGCCACACUGGAACUGAGACACGGUCCAGACUCCUACGGGAGGCAGCAGUGGGGAAUAUUGCACAAUGGGCGCAAGCCUGAUGCAGCCAUGCCGCGUGUAUGAAGAAGGCCUUCGGGUUGUAAAGUACUUUCAGCGGGGAGGAAGGCGGUAAGGUUAAUAACCUUGUCGAUUGACGUUACCCGCAGAAGAAGCACCGGCUAACUCCGUGCCAGCAGCCGCGGUAAUACGGAGGGUGCAAGCGUUAAUCGGAAUUACUGGGCGUAAAGCGCACGCAGGCGGUCUGUCAAGUCGGAUGUGAAAUCCCCGGGCUCAACCUGGGAACUGCAUUCGAAACUGGCAGGCUAGAGUCUUGUAGAGGGGGGUAGAAUUCCAGGUGUAGCGGUGAAAUGCGUAGAGAUCUGGAGGAAUACCGGUGGCGAAGGCGGCCCCCUGGACAAAGACUGACGCUCAGGUGCGAAAAGCGUGGGGGAGCAAACAGGAUUAGGAUACCCUU
rnacentral:rRNA from 1 species